rnacentral:rRNA from 1 species
GUUGGCCGAUGGCUGAUUAGCUAGUUGGUGGGGUAAAGGCCUACCAAGGCGACGAUCAGUAGCUGGUCUGAGAGGACGACCAGCCACACUGGGACUGAGACACGGCCCAGACUCCUACGGGAGGCAGCAGUGGGGAAUUUUGGACAAUGGGCGAAAGCCUGAUCCAGCAAUNCCGCGUGUGUGAAGAAGGCCUUCGGGUUGUAAAGCACUUUUGUCCGGAAAGAAAUCCCUGGCUCUAAUACAGUCGGGGGAUGACGGUACCGGAAGAAUAAGCACCGGCUAACUACGUGCCAGCAGCCGCGGUAAUACGUAGGGUGCGAGCGUUAAUCGGAAUUACUGGGCGUAAAGCGUGCGCAGGCGGUCUGUUAAGACAGAUGUGAAAUCCCCGGGCUCAACCUGGGAACUGC